rnacentral:ncRNA from 1 species
CCCCCAUUAGGACUAAGGAGCCGGUAUCAGGCGUCUUGAUACACCCAAGACAUCUAGCCAUGCCACGCCCCCAAGGGUACUCAGCAGUGAUUAAUAUUAAAAAUAAACGUCAGUUUGAUUUAGUUAAUGAAAAUAGGGCCGGCCAACCUGGUGCCAGCCGCCGCGGUUAAACCACGCGACUCAAAUUGAUUUACAUCGGCGUAAAGCGUGAUUAAAGACAUCCCCCACAAUGAGGUUAAACCCAAACUAAGCUGUGGGAAUACUUGUUCUAGGAAACCCUAACCCGAAAGAUACCUCACCCAUUUUCUUGAACUCACGACAACUGAGACAUAAACUGGGAUUAGAUACCCCACUAUACUCAGUCAUAAACUUUAACUUACACCUCAAUCGCCUGGGAACUACGAGCAAAGCUUAAAACCCAAAGGACUUGACGGUACCCCGCAUCCCUCUAGAGGAGCCUGUCCUAUAAUCGAUAACCCCCGUUUAACCUCACCACUUUUAGUUUAUCAGCCUGUAUACUUCCGUCGUCAGCUUACCACAUGAGUGUGACUAAGUAAGCUUAAUGUGCCUCCCCCAACACGUCAGGUCAAAGUGCAGUAGAUAAAGUGGAAAGAGAUGGGCUACACUUUCUAUUAUUAGAAAACACGAAAGAUCCCAUGAAAUCAGAUCAGAAGGUGGAUUUAGCAGUAAGGGCGGAAUAGAGUACCACCCUUAAUUCGGCACCGGGGUGUGUACACACCGCCCGUCACCCUCUUCGAUGAUCUCAACCCAGUACAUAACAACUUCUAUUAGCUAGAAGAGGCAAGUCGUAACAUGGUAAGUAUACCGGAAGGUGUGCUUGGAAA